rnacentral:rRNA from 1 species
UACAGAGGUCCCAAGCGUUGUUCGGAUUCACUGGGCGUAAAGGGUGCGCAGGCGGCCAAGUGUGUUAGGCGUGAAAGCCCGGGGCUUAACCUCGGAAUUGCACCUAAAACUACAUGGCUAGAGCAUUGGAGAGGGUAGCGGAAUUCACGGUGUAGCAGUGAAAUGCGUAGAUAUCGUGAGGAACACCAGAGGCGAAGGCGGCUACCUGGACAAUUGCUGACGCUCAGGCACGAAAGCGUGGGGAGCAAACAGG